UACGUAGGGCGCGAGCGUUGUCCGGAAUUAUUGGGCGUAAAGAGCUCGUAGGCGGCCUGUUGCGUCCGCUGUGAAAUCCCAGGGCUCAACCCUGGGCGUGCAGUGGAUACGGGCAGGCUGGAGGCAGGCAGGGGAGAACGGAAUUCCCGGUGUAGCGGUGAAAUGCGUAGAUAUCAGGAGGAACAUCGAUGGCGAAGGCAGCCCCUUGGACCUGUACUGACGCUCAUGCACGAAAGCGUGGGGAGCAAACAGG
rnacentral:rRNA from 1 species